rnacentral:rRNA from 1 species
GAUGAACGCUGGCGGCGUGCCUAAUACAUGCAAGUCGAGCGAACGGACGAGAAGCUUGCUUCUCUGAUGUAAGCGGCGGACGGGGGAGUAACACGUGGAUAACCUACCUAUAAGACUGGGAUAACUUCGGGAAACCGGAGCUAAUACCGGAUACUAUUUUGAACCGCAUGGUUCAAAAGUGAAAGACGGUCUUGCUGUCACUUAUAGAUUGAUCCGCGCUGCAUUAGCUAGUUGGUAAGGUAACGGCUUACCAAGGCAACGAUGCAUAGCCGACCUGAGAGGGUGAUCGGCCACACUGGAACUGAGACACGGUCCAGACUCCUACGGGAGGCAGCAGUAGGGAAUCUUCCGCAAUGGGCGAAAGCCUGACGGAGCAACGCCGCGUGAGUGAUGAAGGUCUUCGGAUCGUAAAACUCUGUUAUUAGGGAAGAACAUAUGUGUAAGUAACUGUGCACAUCUUGACGGUACCUAAUCAGAAAGCCACGGCUAACUACGUG